UCCCCUUCAGUUAAAAGCAAUGACCUCGUCAUCUCUUUCUCUCGUCUUUCUUUACCUACUUGUUCUCCUCUCUCUCGGUCACGGAAAUGUUGAGCAGAAUAAUUGCCAGAAAACUUGGUGCAUUGCAAAGCCUUCAACUGAUGAAGUGGCUCUAUACAAUAACAUUCAG